UGAGGCUCCCUCCAACCUUGUGGGCAG
rnacentral:piRNA from 1 species